GGAUCAGCUUGUCAAUGGGCUUUGGAUAUAUUAGAAUGUCAAAGACCAUGGUCUAUCAGUCUUUUCAGAACCGAUAGAUUAGCACCUCUGGCAGAAGCUAGGACAUUGCUCAAUUCUGUCAGAGCUCAGAUUCAGAAACAAAAUCCAAAUGUUAUCCAUCCCUUGGUUUGUAUUGAUGUCAUUGAACAUGGUAUUCUUUGUGGCCCUCGUAAUGGACUAUGGAAGGAAGCUGAAGCUUUACAUGAACUUCGACAAUCUGAUAGUUGCAGGAGCUUAGUGCAUGUAUUCUUUGCAAAACAAAACACUUCAAAGAUUCCUGGGAUUACUGAUAUAGGACUGGUACCAAGGAAGAUUAACAAGGUUGCUAUACUUGGUGGGAGCUUGAUGAGUUCUGAAAUAGCAACAGUGCUGGUACUUGCAAACUAUUAUGUAAUCAUGAAGUAUAUAGAUCAGAAUUCUCUGCAGAGUGGCAUUGGCAGAGUUAAUGCCAAUUUGGAAGGACGUGUUAAGGAAGGAAGAAUGACUCAAGAGCAUUAUAAAAAAGCGUGCACGCUUUUAAAGGGUGUUUUGAGCUAUGAUAACUUCAAAGAUGUGGAUCUAGUCAUAGAGGACAUGCCUGACAUUGUGUCCUUGAAGCAGCAAUUUUUUGCUGAUCUUGAUGAAUGUUGCCCUCAUCACUGCAUUUUUGCUUCAACUACUUGUAUAGUCAACUUAGAUUUGAUUGGAGAAAGGAUGAAACCAUGUAGGGAGAUUGUUGGGAUCCACUUUUUUAGCUCACCCUCUGUCACUGAUCUCCUGGAAAUUGUCCGAACAAAGAGGACAUCCCCUCAAACGCUUGUUGAUCUGUUAAACUUUGGAAGGAGGAUUCAAAAGACUCCUAUUGUAGUUCAGAAUUGUACAGGUUUUGCAGUCAGACAUAUGUGCUUCCCCUACUUGCAGGCAGCGAUGCUUCUUGUUGAACAUGGUGCUGAUGUGUAUCAGAUUGAUAAGGCGCUUACCAGCUUUGGGUUGAAACUGGGUCCAUUUAGAAUGCUUGAUCAAGAUGGAUUCCUGUCUGCAGCUGUGCAUGAUGUGAAAUUCCUU
rnacentral:misc_RNA from 1 species